UACGUAGGGGGCUAGCGUUGUCCGGAUUUAUUGGGCGUAAAGAGCGUGUAGGCGGCCAGGUAAGUCUGGUGUGAAAACUCGAGGCUUAACCUCGAGAUGUCACUCGGAAACCAUCUGGCUAGAGUCCGGAAGAGGAGAGUGGAAUUCCUGGUGUAGCGGUGAAAUGCGCAGAUAUCAGGAAGAACACCAAUGGCGAAAGCAGCUCUCUGGGACGGUACUGACGCUGAGACGCGAAAGCGUGGGGAGCGAACAGG
rnacentral:rRNA from 1 species